rnacentral:tRNA from 1 species
GCCGCGGUGGCGGAAUUGGUAGACGCGUUGGACUCAAAAUCCAAUAACCGAAAGGUUGUGAGAGUUCGAGUCUCUCCCGCGGCA